UACAGAGGUCCCAAGCGUUGUUCGGAUUCAUUGGGCGUAAAGGGUGCGUAGGCGGCGCGGUAAGUCGGGUGUGAAAUCUCGGGCUUAACUCCGAAACUGCAUUCGAUACUGCCGUGCUUGAGGACUGGAGAGGAGACUGGAAUUUACGGUGUAGCAGUGAAAUGCGUAGAGAUCGUAAGGAAGACCAGUGGCGAAGGCGGGUCUCUGGACAGUUCCUGACACUGAGGCACGAAGGCCAGGGGAGCAAACGGG
rnacentral:rRNA from 1 species